rnacentral:lncRNA from 1 species
UAAAAACCGGGACAUUCAGUUAGAGAAAUCUAUUGUAUUGGUUUUUUUCUCUUCGUCUUCCUCCAAGAUCCCUCCUUUAUCGGUUUUCAGCUAACCAGACUCAGAUGCGGCAGUUUGCGGUGGUUUUGUAUCGUCGUAGCAAAAUUAAGCCGGAGAGAAUCUCAGUCAAAGACUCCGAAAGAGAUAAAAGAGGUGAGUUUUUAAGUGAUGUUCAGAUAAACUCUAUGCAAACAAACUUGGAAUGGUUGAAAAAGGAAUCUUGAUGCUUUGUGUGUUUUAGUAGACACAACUGUCUUCAUAGAGUCCUUAUGAAGUGUACAAACUCUUCUAGCGAGUUGUGUGAAGAGCCUCCACUUUUAACAGAGGCUCUAAGUUGCUCUUUUAAACUGAAAGCUCUCUUCCUCAUCUCCUCUCCUUCUUCGUCAACCAUUAACCUCUUCACAGCUCUCUCGACCACUCCUCUGUCUAGCUCACCCUCCACUUGAAUCCCAAUUUUCCAUACACACUCCAAGUAUCUAGCGUUCACCUUUUGAUCACCCGAAAAUGGCCUGCAGAUCAUUGGAACUCCUUGGCCGAUGCUUUCUAGUGUCGAGUUCCAUCCACAAUGGCUCCAAAACCCUCCUACUGCAGGAUGAGAAAGUACUUCCUUCUGUGGAGCCCAUUUCACAAUGUAACCUCGGUCCAAAACCAUCUUACUAAACUCUUCAGGCAUGGACUCUAUCCACUCGGAACCAGCUCUUGUUCUCUUCAAGCAGACUUGUAGGAGCUGAGGCCACCAUGUGAAGAGGGCCUAUAGGAUACACUGGAAUUUGUAGCUGUUGUUGUUGCAGAAAAGACAGAGAUGAGCUCUCUAGACAGCUCGCAGUGUUGAUUAUCACCGAGGAAGCUGUCCGUUUGUCAACUGUAUUCCUAUACACCUCCAUUAUGCUCUCUAAUGAUGCAAACCGUGAAACUGGAAAGUCUUUAUAUCUCAAGGGAUAAAACUCCGGAACUAGCUCUUCUUGUUGUCCUUUAGUUUCUGCAAAAAAGGUCAAAAACAAUGCUGUUUCAAUCUUAUAGCCACUCGCGGAAACCACGAAACAGAGAGUUUUAGAGUACCUUUCAAGGGAGCUUGGACAUUGUUUGCAUAUAGUUUGUCAAAUACAGAGCGGCAAGCGAAAGCCGUGGCACUUGUUGUGCUGAAAAUGAUGUUUGGAAGCUUACACUCUUUGGCUGCAGCUUCAGCAAAGUACAUGAACUCAUCGUAGAUGACACAUGAGAUCUCAUUACUUUGUUGCAGCACCAACUGACCCAAACAGUCCUUGAAGCUCACCUUACACUCUUUGUUGAGCUUAAACAGAAACUGUAUUGGUCCGAGAUUCUUGAAAUCAGACUCUGGUAAGCUUUCUGGAAUGGUGACGAACUGAAAAUCAUGAGUGAAGUCAUCUGAAGGGCUAAAGUAAUUGAACUUAGUCUGAACAACUGUGAUCGAGAAACCCUUUAAGUGAAGGGUUUUGGCAAGUUGCAUCAUUGGAGAUAUAUGUCCUUGUGCUGGAAAUGGAACCAACACUACGCUUCUCCUUGCAGGCUUUUCCUCCAUUCCCAAAACCUGCAUGAACUACUAAUUAAAAGUAUCCUGCUCAGCUUCGUGGUUCGCGGUUUCGAUCACUUCGGUAACCGAUAUAUAAAGUAUCUGACUCUCGAACGUUUUGUUGGCUCUCUUCGUCACAACAUGUGAAUCAUGUGGUGGAUGGUGUUACAUUUCUUUAUCUUGUUAGAGAGUGGUAACCAAAGAAAAGCAAAAAUGCUAUUGUCUUCUUGGUUCUCUUGCCGCAUUUCGCUUCAUGUCAAAAGAGGCUUCAAACAGAAAAAAUUGUCUUUUUCUGGUGCAGCAAUCUAUAUUGAGAAACGUGCCAAAGGAGAUAAACUCGUGUUUGAUUUGAAUUGCAUCAUAUUUGCAUUACAAAAUAGAACACGUACACUUUACUCUCUAAGUUUGGCAUGUUCCAUACAAUUCAAUGAUAGGAAUAUCAGGUUCUCACACUUGUGUACAUUGAUUCAUUCAUGUUGCGUUUUGUCCCUAACAGUUUAGUUAUUGCGUG